rnacentral:misc_RNA from 1 species
UGAUUCUUCUGGAGCCACACCUGGUACAACUGGGUCAUCGAUGGGAGCACAUCAAUAGUGCCCGUUAAACCCAUUUGCUGAUUAUUUAGCCACAAGUUCUGGAAGAAUUUGCGAAAGACCAUGGCAAAGAACCUGUCAGAUUAUUAUAGCUGAGCCUCAAACUCUGAAUACCGGGAAAAGAUGCAAAAAUGUCAGGAAUUGAGCCAAAAAUGUUGGAUUGCCUAGCAUCUAAAGUCUUGAGAGCAGAGGAAUCAGCAAGAUCUGUAGGAAGCUCCCAGGGAGAGAGAUUAAUGUUGCCUCCAAUGCUCAAGGUUUGCAAACUAGUGAGCCCUUUGAAGAACCCGGAAGGGAAUGAAGUGAAAUUAUUGGAAUCCAGGUAUAAACUCUGCAAACGUGAGAGAUUAGCGAGAGAUGGGAGAUCCCCAGAAAGCUUAUUAUUUUGGAGGGAGAUCUCCUGGAGCUCAUUGAGUAAACCGAGCUCCGACGGGAGGUUGCCGGUGAGAUCUUCGUUAGGAAGGGAA